UUAAACUUUUUUUUUUUUUUUUUUUUUUUUUUUUAAAGCUCUUUGCUACUGCUCACUGUUUUGGGGCCGUGCUGCCUUUAUGAGCUGUCACACUUCCCACGAAGGUCUGCAGCUUCACUGCUGAAGCAAGCAAGACCACGAAGCCACUGGGAAAAACGAACAACUUAAGACGCGGUGUCUUUAAGAACUGUAAUACUACAAAGGUCUGCAGGUUCACUCCUGACAGUGAGACCACGAACCCACCAGAAGGAAGAAGUUCCAGACACAGCUGAACCUCUGAAGGAACAAACGGCGGACACACCAUAUUUAAGUAACUGUAGCACUUACAGUGAGGGUCUGUGGCUUCAUUCUUGAAGUCAGUGAGACCAACAACCCAGCAAUUCCGGACGCACUAUGGCUCUGCAACUGAGAAUGCUUAUGCAAAUAAGCAUGUAAACAACCUGCCAUACCGUUGCAGAAAGGCAAAUAGGGUUAAAAUUGGAGACAAGACUUCCAUCAUUUUUGCCAAGCAGAGAGGGAAGAACUCAGCAAUCAUAUAAUUCUGCUCAAAACAAUAUCCAGGAAAAUAGUCCAGGACUGGUACAACUGUUCUAGGAAGUUACCAAGGCUCUGCAAAGGCAUCUGAGGGGACUCAGGAAGCACGUGAGCCUACAGCUGAACUUCACUGUAGAAAGUUGUCAGAAAGGCCAAGAGCUGAAGCAGAAGAGCAAGCAAGAAAGAAAAUUCUCUGCAGGCUCUGUCUUGUACUGGAGUUGCUACCUUUAGCCCGCUGGAUCACUGUGCUUGAAAUUCCCACAUUAUUCGUUCUGCAAAGUUAAGACAUAAAAUAAGAUCCUGACAAAGGAGCCUUUCCUUUGACCAGUCUCACUCUGUUGCCCAGGCUGGAGUGCAGUGGCAUAAUCAAAGCUCACUUCAUCCUCAAGCUCCCAGACUGAAGUGAUCUUCCCACCUUAGCCUUCUGAGUAGCUAGGACUACAGAUAUGCACCACCACACCUGGC